AGUGAACGCUGGCGGUAGGCCUAACACAUGCAAGUCGAACGGCAGCACAGUAAGAGCUUGCUCUUACGGGUGGCGAGUGGCGGACGGGUGAGGAAUACAUCGGAAUCUACUUUUUCGUGGGGGAUAACGUAGGGAAACUUACGCUAAUACCGCAUACGACCUACGGGUGAAAGCAGGGGAUCUUCGGACCUUGCGCGAUUGAAUGAGCCGAUGUCGGAUUAGCUAGUUGGCGGGGUAAAGGCCCACCAAGGCGACGAUCCGUAGCUGGUCUGAGAGGAUGAUCAGCCACACUGGAACUGAGACACGGUCCAGACUCCUACGGGAGGCAGCAGUGGGGAAUAUUGGACAAUGGGCGCAAGCCUGAUCCAGCUAUACCGCGUGGGUGAAGAAGGCCUACGGGUUGUAAAGCCCUUUUGUUGGGAAAGAAAAGCAGCAGGUUAAUACCCCGCUGUUCUGACGGUACCCAAAGAAUAAGCACCGGCUAACUUCGUG
rnacentral:rRNA from 1 species